rnacentral:rRNA from 1 species
AUUGAACGCUGGCGGCAUGCCUUACACAUGCAAGUCGAACGGCAGCACGGGUGCUUGCACCUGGUGGCGAGUGGCGAACGGGUGAGUAAUACAUCGGAACGUACCUUAUCGUGGGGGAUAACGCAGCGAAAGCUGUGCUAAUACCGCAUACGCCCUGAGGGGGAAAGCGGGGGAUCGCAAGACCUCGCGCGAUUAGAGCGGCCGAUGCCUGAUUAGCUUGUUGGUGGGGUAAAAGCCCACCAAGGCGACGAUCAGUAGCAGGUCUGAGAGGACGAUCAGCCACACUGGGACUGAGACGCGGCCCAGACUCCUACGGGAGGCAGCAGUGGGGAAUUUUGGACAAUGGGGGCAACCCUGAUCCAGCAAUGCCGCGUGAGUGAAGAAGGCCUUCGGGUUGUAAAGCUCUUUUGUCAGGGAAGAAACACCGGCUCUAACACAGUCCGGGAAUGACGGUACCUGAAGAAUAAGCACCGGCUAACUACGUGCCAGCCGCCGCCGUAA